rnacentral:rRNA from 1 species
AACGCGAAGAACCUUACCUAGGCUUGAAAAGCAGUCUAAAGCAGCGAAAGCUGUGUACCCGCAAGGGGGGCUGUACAGGUGCUGCAUGGCUGUCGUCAGCUCGUGCCGUGAGGUGUUUGGUUAAGUCCAGCAACGAGCGCAACCCCUGUCCUUAGUUGAAUAAUCUAGGGAGACUGCCGGGCGAAACCCGGAGGAAGGUGGGGAUGACGUCAAGUCCGCAUGCCCUUUAUGUCCAGGGCUACACACACGCUACAAUGGCCGGUACAACGGGUUCCGACACGGCGACGUGAAGGCAAUCCCUAAAAGCCGGUCUCAGUUCGGAUUGCAGGCUGCAACUCGCCUGCAUGAAGUCGGAGUUGCUAGUAACCGCAGGUCAGCACACUGCGGUGAAUACGUUCCCGGGCCUUGUACACACCGAUACUC